ACGGCUCAGUAACACGUGGAUAACCUGCCCUUGGGUCCGGCAUAACCCCGGGAAACUGGGGAUAAUUCCGGAUAACGCACAUAUGCUGGAAUGCUUUCUGCGUAAAAUGGAUUCGUCUGCCCAAGGAUGGGUCUGCGGCCUAUCAGGUAGUAGUGGGUGUAAUGUACCUACUAGCCUACGACGGGUACGGGUUGUGAGAGCAAGAGCCCGGAGAUGGAUUCUGAGACAUGAAUCCAGGCCCUACGGGGCGCAGCAGGCGCGAAAACUUUACAAUGCGGGAAACCGUGAUAAGGGGACACCGAGUGCCAGCGUCAUACGCUGGCUGUCCAGGUGUGUAAAAUACACCUGUUAGCAAGGGCCGGGCAAGACCGGUGCCAGCCGCCGCGGUAACACCGGCGGCCCGAGUGGUGAUCGUGAUUAUUGGGUCUAAAGGGUCCGUAGCCGGUUUGGUCAGUCCUCCGGGAAAUCUGACAGCUUAACUGUUAGGCUUUCGGAGGAUACUGCCAGACUUGGAACCGGGAGAGGUAAGAGGUACUACAGGGGUAGGAGUGAAAUCUUGUAAUCCCUGUGGGACCACCUGUGGCGAAGGCGUCUUACCAGAACGGGUUCGACGGUGAGGGACGAAAGCUGGGGGCACGAACCGGAUUAGAUACCCGGGUAGUCCCAGCCGUAAACGAUGCUCGCUAGGUGUCAGGCAUGGCGCGACCGUGUCUGGUGCCGCAGGGAAGCCGUGAAGCGAGCCACCUGGGAAGUACGGCCGCAAGGCUGAAACUUAAAGGAAUUGGCGGGGGAGCAC
rnacentral:rRNA from 1 species